rfam:Picoides pubescens contig80102, whole genome shotgun sequence.
CACAUUGCUCUUUUAAGAGCAACACAAAUAGAGUUUAAAAACCUUU